rnacentral:rRNA from 1 species
AGAUUGAACGCUGGCGGCGUGCCUAACACAUGCAAGUCGAGCGGUAGCAGGUGUAGCAAUACAUGCUGACGAGCGGCGGACGGGUGAGCAAUGCUUGGGAAUCUGCCUAUUAGUGGGGGACAACCCGGGGAAACUCGGGCUAAUACCGCAUACGCACUACGGUGGAAAGCCGGGGACCGCAAGGCCUGGCGCUAAUAGAUGAGCCCAAGUCGGAUUAGCUAGUUGGUGGGGUAAUGGCCUACCGAGGCGACGAC